CCAAUGAAUCUGUGAUGCACCCGGUGUCAGUCGUGUCACUGAGUCGCUGAUGAGCGGAGAUGGCACUCAGUCGUCCAGCAAUGGUCCUGUCGAUGCUGCUGCCACUGCUGCUGCUGUCGGCGACCGCAACGGCUAGCCCUCAACGUGAAGUGCAACCACUACCAAGAUGUCCGGACGGCUCUCUGAGUUAUGGCGGGAGUUGCAGUUUCCCUUCUUGCAGGUUGAUAAAGUGUCCAGGCACGAACGUCAUGGACUGUCAACAUAGAUGUCCAGUUCCACCUCCCGGUCCCGGCCCUGUCCUGGACGACUUUGUUAUAGUGACGAGCUGUCCGGUGAACUCGGAGCCGUGCAGCUCGUCAGUGGCGAACGGCCUGUGCUCCUCGGACGGUGGCUGCUCGGGCUCGCUCAAGUGCUGCCAGUUCGGCUACAAAGGCACCUGCCAGAAGACGUGUCUACCCGGGUGCCCGGCGUGCGCGGUCGGCAAGACGUGCCGCCUGGACCGGGCGCCGUUCCCCUGUGUGGGAUCCACCUGCCCGGCCAUCACGGCCUCCUGCCAGUCCUGAGCGGAGCGACGGACUGCGGUCCUCACGGCCUCCUGCCAGUCCUGAGCGGAGCGGGGGACUGCCGUCCGAUUCGUCCCUGCUACCAUCCCGAGCGGAGCGACGGGCUGCAGUCCGCACGGCUCCUUGUCAGUCCUGAGCGGGGGGACUGCCGUGCGACACGACCAGGCUGCGGCGAUCAGACGGCGCAGACGGCUUGUGUCGUAUUGCUGGCAGUCGCUGGUCGCUAUUUCUGCCGUUUUUUUCCUUUUCUUUGUAAUGUACGGGCAAAUGUGCCUCUGUGUCCGCAACACCAGGCAACGAAUAUCGUAACCCUUUCCCUCGGUGACAGGUGACAGCUGACAGGGUCACGGACAGGUGACUCUGCCUGUCCACACCUGACAGCUAACCGGCGAAUGACGCAGUUGUAUAGUAUUGGGAGACGUAGAGACGGAGUUGGAUUUAAAACAUUCAUCAAAUAAAGUUUGCACCCUGCUA